UCCCCUUAUACCUAAAUUUUCAAAAAAUAACCUAAAUUUUUCCCUAAUUAUCAAUUUUUUUCUCCAAAAACUCAAAUUUUCUGGGGGGGCUAAGCCCCCCCACUUUUUCUUCUGGGGGGGCUUUAGCCCCCCUAGCCCCCCCUGUUCCGCCGCCCCUGGUACACACGUAAAAUCGCGCAAGUUGUUACAGAUCUGUAAACAAAUUGUAACAAGGUUGUUGUGAAGCCGAUAUCAGGAUGUGUUCGCACUGCUUGUUCCCAGUUGUUGUGACAAGUCUGGAACAAGUCGUUAUCACCUUGUUACAAGGUUUAUGACGGC